rnacentral:rRNA from 1 species
CCUACGGAGGCAGCAGUCGAGAAUUUUUCUCAAUGGGGGCAACCCUGAAGGAGCGACGCCGCGUGAAGGAUGAAGGUCUUCGGAUUGUAAACUUCUGUCAUUGGUGAACAAGGCCCACGCAGUAACUGGUGUUGGGAUUGAUAGUAGCCGAAGAGGAAGAGACGGCUAACUCUGUGCCAGCAGCCGCGGUAAUACAGAGGUCUCAAGCGUUGUUCGGAGUCAUUGGGCGUAAAGGGUGCGUAGGUGGCGAGGUAAGUCUGGUGUGAAAUCCCGGGGCUCAACCCCGGAACUGCACUGGAUACUGCCCUGCUAGAGUACUGGAGAGGAGAUUGGAAUUUACGGUGUAGCAGUGAAAUGCGUAGAUAUCGUAAGGAAGACCAGUGGCGAAGGCGAAUCUCUGGACAGUUACUGACACUGAGGCACGAAGGCCAGGGGAGCAAACGGGAUUAGAUACCCCUGUAGUC